UCCCGACCUCAGGCAAUCCGCCUGCCUUGGCCUCCCAAAGUGCUGGGAUUACAGGCGUGAGUCACCAUGCCCAGCCCCAGUUAAUUUUAAUUUUAAUUUUUGUGCAGACAGGGCCUCAAUAUUUGCCCAGGCUGGUCUUGAACUCCUGGGCUUAAGCAAUCCUCCCUCCUUGGCCUGUUGGCCUUGUUUUGCUUGUAGGCGAUCUUAGCAUUGGACAGUUCGGUGUACUGGAUUUGAUCUGGUUUGACAGCAAUGUUAUAGCCAGGGGGAGCAGAUGGUGUAUUCCAAGUGAAAGGAUAAUUAUAAGCACCCGGAUCCUCAAGUUCCCUCCUUUUACUGUUUAGUGAGUCUCGAAUGGUCCCAAACCCUAAAUGAAGCAUCUCCCAAAUGUUAAGCAAGAGGCAAAGGCCUGUAACACCAUACAUUAUCAGAAGGAAGAUGGUCUUUUCAGUGGGUCUAGAAAUAAAGCAGUCUAUCUUAUGAGGACAAGGAAGUCUGCUGCACACAUAAAACGGGUGGACUUGGAAGCCAUAUAGAAAAUACUGCCCUAUCAGAAAACCCACCUCAAACACGGUCCUUGCCAGCAACUGCAGCACAUAGAUUUUCAUGAGCCCAUCUUCCCGAAUCCGUCGUCGGCCAUCAUGCUUAGGUUUGGGUUGGCUC
rnacentral:lncRNA from 1 species